rnacentral:rRNA from 1 species
CCUACGGUAGGCAGCAGUGAGGAAUAUUGGUCAAUGGGCGCGAGCCUGAACCAGCCAAGUCGCGUGAAGGAUGACUGCCCUACGGGUUGUAAACUUCUUUUAUAAAGGAAUAAAGUGAGGCACGUGUGCCUUUUUGUAUGUACUUUAUGACUAAGGAUCGGCUAACUCCGUGCCAGCAGCCGCGGUAAUACGGAGGAUCCGAGAGUUAUCCGGCUUUAUUGGGUUUAAAGGGAGCGUCGAUGGGUUGUUAAGUCAGUUGUGAAAGUGUGCGGCUCAACCGUAAAAUUGCAAUUGAUACUGGCAGUCGUGAGUACAGUUGAGGUAGGCGGAAUUCGUGGUGUAGCGGUGAAAUGCUUAGAUAUCACGAAGAACUCCGAUUGCGAAGGCAGCUUACUAAACUGCCACUGACAUUGAUGCGCGAAAGUGUGGGUAUCAAACAGGAGUAGAUACCCGUGUAGUC